UUCUAAUGAGGUAAACUAGUUAUUUUAUUGAGUAGAUUGGGUUUGAAGGAAUCCAACCAUACUCACCACUUAGAGUUCUACGUCAAUUCGGCAUAAAACAAAAUAUCCCUUUACGGUCACAAAUGGCUCCAGCGGAAGUUACUUAUGGAAGACAAGUACCUUGGACCAGAAUUAGAAAACUAUAAUAAAUAUGGAUACUUUUAUUCGAAAUUGGCCAAAAAACUUGGUGCACAUCGGGGUAUUAUGCAUGGAACGUAGAAGGAGGCCUCAUAACACGACCAAGCUAGGAAAAGAUUCCUGGGCUGGUGGACUAUGAUAUGGUGUGUUAGGUGGCAAGUGAAAUACUACCUUAUAUGUAUCUCACCACCUCUAUGUAUCGACAAGUAGUUCCAGGAUCAGUAGAGACAUGAUGCUUCCAGACGAUGAUGAUGUAAAGGAAGACACAAAAGAGGAACCUGGGGACCAACCCGCGAGGAAUGAAAAUGAUUUGGACUACCCAGAUUAGCUGAUAAAUGAGGAUGAUUUCAUGGACUACCACUUGGAAUUCUUUCUGGGCCUAGGUAAUGAUGAUAACGAUGGUACCACAUGUCCCUAGAUUUCCUUUCUUGUUGUAUUUUUCACAUUCUCUAAAGAGAUGCAUGGUCAAUCCUAUUGUAAGCUCCUGCGACUGUCCAUGUACUUUCUUUUUAAGCUGUCAUCGAUCUGUUUUGAUUUAACCUCUUGAAUUCCUUUGUUUAGUGAAAUUAUUGUUUAUUCUCAAAUCCAAAUGUGUUCAAAUGGAUCAUUUAUCAUCAAACUGAUGGCAACGUAGGCCUACCUCUAGCAAAAAGAGGCUCUCUAUUAGGACGCGUGUGGGAUGUCGCCAACUUGGCGUAUAUAUGUGUUACUUACAUGUUAAACUUUUAGUAUCUCCCAAAAUAACAUGGUUUUCCUUUUUUUUUUCUUUCUUCUUUUCAUUUACUUAUCCCCCCAAAAAAGAAGGUUGGUUUGUGUCGACUCAUAAACUGACAGAAUCCCAAUACAAUCUUCGGUCCAAAAACAAAAUGACUAACAAGGAAAGGGCUGCAAUGAUACCAGUGGAUGACGCUGAAAGCUCUUAAAGACUGUCAGAUGCCCAGAACGAUGAACAGAUUGCUAACAUAGCUUAAGAAAUUAAAGUCUUGAAAGAAGAAGGGACCUGGCCAAGCUUACAGUGGCUAGUUUUCCCGCUCAAUUCUAGUCUCCAAAUGUUGGAUUACCCCCGUCCGCUCCCGCUAACCUAACAAAUCUACCUUCAUAUGAUCAAUCCCCACUUGCUUCUCAACCCACUAUCUGGGUUGCACCUGAUUAUUCAUUUCCCACUCAAAACUUUACCAUUCCUGUCGAUCCAAUAAUGUAGCACAUACCUGAGGCACAUGUCAUCUGCGAGAUACCUGUGCCACUGGUAUAUGCUACAAAAUCUCCUACUUUUGUAACGUCCGCAGCUAUUAAGAUUUCAUAUAAGGUUGAUCGAUAUGCGGGAUUUGGGAAAGAUAACCAAUUGAAUGAAGAAGGUUCAAUAGUAGCUCAGCUUGAAAGUCUAAAAAGAGCAUUUAGAAACUAGCAAGUCACCAGAGGAACUGAACGUUUGGACUAUGAUGACUUGUGUAUUCAUCCGGAUAUUGACAUACCCGUUGGGUACAAAUCACCAAAGUUUGAUAUUUAUGAUGGAAAGGGUGACUCGCAUGCACAUCUAAGGGCCUAUUUUGACAAAUUAGUCGGCGUAGAAAGGAAUUAGAAGUUGAGAAUGAAGUUGUUCAUUCAGAGUUUGUCAGGAGAAACUUUGACUUAGUACACCCAACAAGACCCUCGUAAGUGGAUGACUGGCGGGAAAUGGCUGAAGACUUCAUGAGCUGCUUCAGGUUUAACAAUGAGAUUACCCCAGACAGGUUCUUAUUGGCUAACAUACAGAAAAAGCCAUCAGAAUCAUUUCAAGAAUAUGCAUGGCGUUGGAGGACCGAGGCUGCUAGGAUCCAGCCUCCAUUGGACAAAAGUGAGCUCUCCAAGUAUUUGUUCAAUCUAAGAUGAAUAUUUGUUUUGAUAAUAUGAUGCCAAUGAUGGGCCAAAAGUUUGCAGAAUUGGUCAAGAUGGGAGAUUUCAUAUAAGAAGGUAUCAGGUUAGGAAAGAUUCAGUCUAUAGUUGCACUGUAAGCCACAAGUAAGUCCAUACAGUCUGGUUCCAUUGGUAGUACUAAAAAGAAGAAAUAAGAUGUCUCAGCUUUCACACCAUACUACCAACCUAGAAAUUCUUUCUACCAUUAUCAUAACAAUUCCUAAAUUAUUGCACAUAUCGGUGUACAAUACUCAACCAUAUUACAAUCUACCUGGAGCUCUAGCAUACCAAAAUCCCCAAGACCAUAUGCCUUUGUCUAAGCUCCAUCUUACCAAAAUAGACCAGCAUAUACACCAAGACCACAUCCAAAUCUCGAAAGCUAGGAAUACCCGCACCUAUACACCAAUUGCUGAACCUUUGGUCCAGUUGUUUAAAAGAUUGAGGGCAAUAAUAUUAUUAUAUCUGGUCGAAGGAAAAACCCCUGAACUAAUCUCUCAGAACUUUGAUGGCAACAAACAAUACACUUAUCACUCAGGAGUCUAGGGGCAUGACACGGAAGAGUGUUAUGGUUUGAAGAAUCAAAUUGAGUCUCUAAUCAGGAAGGGAGUAAUCAAAUGCACCGCCGCAGCUUCAAAUGUGAACUAUAACACCCCGCCAAACCAUAGAAAUCAAGAAGUCAACAUGAUUACUUUGGAGGAAAUGUAUGACUUGGAGGAAGCUAUUGUGCCUACAUGGAAUGCAGAAGAAGCUGCCACUACAUCCCUAUUACAACCUUUAUCACAGUUUAGUUAAGGGAGCCUUUAAUUGUUCAUACCUACCUGCCAAGAGUUGUAGUGACCACUAUAGCCACUGGGAGGCCUGAUUAUGAUGCUAAAGCAGUCCCAUGGGAUUAUUGAGCCGAAUCAAAGGGCAAAAUAAUAGAUUCUACAGCAUAUCAAGGCAUGACUAGGUCGAGAAGGUGUUAUGCUCCAAAAGAUCUGAAUUGAGGAGCUCCUGAGAAAGAGCAGAACCCAAAGAAGAGAAAUAUUGGUGAUGCUGAAGCCAUAAAAUUUUAGAAUAAGAUGCAACCCAAGGACUAUUCGGUUGAAGAGAAGCUAAAGAAGACACUGGCCUAUAUAUCCAUUAUGUCCUUGCUUAUGAGUUCUGAAGCCCAUAGAAAUGCUUUGAUGGAAUUGUUAUGUGGGGUUAGUAUACCAAAGAAGACCAUCAGUGAGACUUUACUUGUAAUAAUUGGACGGAUGGUAGAAGUGAUAACGCUCAACUUAUACGUCAAUUUAAGUGCAAGGUGAUCAUCGUCAAUAUAUUUACCUAACUUUGGAGUCGGGGUCAAAUCCAGGAGGAACAAUAUUAAUGGCGAUCAAAUUGGCUCGAAAUAAUGGAUACUUGAUAAUUUCAAAACUAGAAUACAAGAAGAUAAAAAUGAGGGGUUCGUGAAAUGUCACAACUAAUAUUUGUUUUUGGGAUUUCUAGUAUUAAUUCGGGGCUACAAAUAAUUAGAGUCUAAUUAAUUAGGUGCGGAUCUUGGGAUUAUGCUUUGCUAGGGGCGACAUAUGUAUGAACGUGUGAUGACUUGAUGCAAAUUCUAAAUGUUGGUGAUGUGGUAGGCUAGGUUAGAAAUCCUUGAGUCUAGUUUGUCAACAAAACCUCAAGGGUGUCACUCAUUGGCCCUUUCAAGUACCUAAUGAGUGCUUCAAUCAAAACCACCUAAUACCUCAAUUAGACACCCCUAUUUCUAGGAUGGUGCCCUAAGUAUAGUCAACUUCACAAUCAUCCUUAUGUUUAAGAUAGUGAAAACUAGUCAACCAUGUUUAUAAAUUAUCUACUAUUGCCUUGGUUCCCAUAUUCCUCUUUCAAGGAUGAUGUGGGUUCCUAAAGUUCACCUAAACCUUUUUUUCAAGGAUGGUUUAGGCUUUCAAGAACUUGGGAUUCUCACCCACAAACCCUAUUUAGGUAUUUAAGGGUUUCACCCACAAAUCCCAACCAAUUUAGUCAAGCAAUAAUAAAACAUAACAUCACAAACUAGUAAAUGCACAAGUAAAUCACAUCUGACACAUAUUUGCAUCCUACUCUAGCAUAACCCCAAGAAGAAAAACUAGUUACUCAUAAAAAUAGCAAACAAGAUAUACCCAAUAACCUCCAUUGAUUAGAUCUAUGGAAGACUAAGUGAAUAUUACUUCAAACUUUGAAUAUUCACAAAUAUCCAAUGGGAGUUAUCUAAUCCUUUACUUGGAAACCACUCUAAUGUAUUCUUCACCCAAAAUUAAUACAAUAUUUUCUUCUCCAAGUAUGGAGGCUAAGAACUAGAACAAAGUUCAAUAAUUAGAAAUUGUAGAAUGAAUAAAAAUGGAAUGAUAGGGUUUGAGUCUUCUUUUAAGCAAAAUUGGGAACACCUGUGUGCAUUUAUGGCUUUGCCCUUAGGUUGAUUUUUUGCUAGGCUGCGAUCGUGUCAGCUUUGUCGCGAUUACGAUUAAUGCCACACGAUAGCAGUAUCUUGACCAUUUUGACUGACCACGAUCGUGGUCCUCAAACCGCGAUCUUGGUAACUGAGGCUAUGUAUGCUCCAGGACUUCAGCUACACUUCUUUGCUUCCUUUUGAUCCUUUUUAGCUCUUAUCCACAUUAUUCUAUCUCAUCAAUAAUGUUCUUGGAAAAUACAGAUAUUAGUGAAUUUAAUCAUAAUUAUGUCUCAUUUAUUCCUUCAUAACAUCAUAAUGUGCACGAAUGACGAGUGUGAAUGAGUGGUAAAAUCACCACUCAUCAACACCCCCAACUUAAAGCUUUGCUUGUCCUCAAGCAACAUCAUCUCUAACUAUGAGACAAUGCACAUUUAUGCCCAAAUUAUAUGCCUCAAGGAUCUUAAUGACUUCAAGCUUAGUCGCUACCACAAGUAUCUCUUUACACAUAGGCCAGGUUACUUUUACUACACCCAUCAAUAAAAAAAUGCAAUAUCUAAGGAUGCAAAAGACUUCAAAGAGAAACAAUGCAACAACGACCAAUACUCUAGAAGUAACUCACUUUUGACCAACACCAAGCCAUACUCAUUUUUGCCUCAUUUCUUCGAAGAUGACAAAAUUAUCAACCUUAACUAGUUCACAUGUCUCCUCACAAGAAAGAAAAUUUCACUCACCAAGUCACCAAAUUUGCAACAAGGAAUUUAAGUACAAAACUCUUUCUCUCAUAAGAACUUUCUAUGUUAACAAGUGUCAUACCAUAGGCUUGCUCCUAUUUUCAAUUUCCAUUACAAAUAAAAUAAAUGGUUAGAGAUCUCAAAGGACUUUUUGAGCUUAUAACAUAGGUUUAGGAUAGGGUAAGAUAUCAUUUAGAAACAACAUGGCUUAUACUCUAUUUGAACAUCUACAUCACACUAAUUAAUCCACUUUUGACUAUGGGCCAAUUCUCCUAUUUUCUCUCUUUUCACGUGCCUACUAUUUACUUCUUUGUUUCACCCAUUUUCCUUCAUUUCUUUUCCUUGUAAAUUUCAUAUAAUUUUUUCCUUUGUUGGAUCCUUCUCUUUCUCACUAAUUCUCUUUCAAAGCUUAAUCUCAUAGGCACUCACUUACAACUUCGUGGUCCAAAGCUACUUCCUUCAAUCUUCACCAUCCCCAACUUAGGCUUUUAGCCCCAAGUUGUAUUUUUAAGUUCAAGGAGGGUAUGGUUCAAAAGAGGGAUAAAAAUUGAAUGGCUCAUGGCUUGUAAUGUGUUUGUCAAAGAGAGGUUCAAAGGCUCAAAGUGGGUGACUAGAGAUAAAGUUUAUGCAUGGGCAGGCCUUUUAGGCUAAAGUGGCUUCCAAAAUGACAAAGAUGGACGAAGAUCAUUUCUCUAACCAAAUAUAAUCAAAACUAGCCUUGAAAGACUAAUGGGGCAAGUUCUAGAUGACACAAGUAUACAUGAGAUGUAGACAACUAACUCACAACACAUAACAUACAAAUUCGGCAAGGAGGCUCAAUUGCCCCUUUCGUUAGAGAAAAAAAUAAAGUAUCUAUCAAUAUUCACAAGUCAAAAAUUUGAGGAGUCACAAAAAAAAUAAAAAGAAUUGUUACAAUGCCACUCACGUCCAUGCCCUUGAUUUUUGAAAAAUUUUGGACGGAGGGGGGUCUUCGUUUUGUAUUUGCACCAUGCAUAAUUUGCUAAUCGUGGAAACUACCCAAGUCUUGGUCUCAUAUUUUGACUUCAUAUGGGAAAACCAACCAUAUGGCUACUCAGACUUCGCCAAUGGUAUGAGUGCAAUCCCAAAUCCACAAUGCCACAGGUACUCAGACUUUCCUUACAUUUAUAGCCUUGAUGCUAUGGGAACUCAGAGUUCCCCUGCAUCUGUGGCUCAAGACCCAAUCACGAUGAGUUUCCCUUACGAAUGUCGUCACUCAAUAUAUCAUAGAGAAAGGCUUUCCAAAUAUCAUUGUUAAAAGAAAUAGACAACUACAAAUGAAAAUAAUCAAUUCACAAAAUUUUCAUGCUUUAUGUGUACUAAAUUUAAGUAUUGCAAGCCAACGUGUACUCACACAAGGACAGGGCCACACACACACCUAAUAAAAAGACUUGUAGUGGCCUCACUACAUAAUACAAAAGCAUAAGAAGGGUAAAAUGGCUCCCUGAAAUCGGAUAGAUAACUAUGUUGAAAAAUUGGCAUAAUGGCGCGAUCGAGACAAGAUUGAUGCGAUCGCAAUACCGCGAUCGCAGCUCUCAGUCCACGAUCAUGGUAACUGAGGUCAUCUGCUACUUUAUUUUGGCCUAUUUUUCUGCAUGGCUGCCACACUUCUAAACUUGGGUUUCCCCUAUUUUUGUCUUACAACUUAUCCAAAACACCUACAAAAAUAUCAAAACUAUGUGAUUUAUUCAAAAACAUAAAAAUAAAAAUAUGAAAAUGAUAGUUUGCCUCCCAUAAAGAACUAGAUUUAUCAUCGGACACGACGCCCUUUUGAUCCUUAUUUGUGUCUCCACUUAGAGGAUUUGAAUUUCCUACCCAAUUUUCUAUCACUACAUCUUUGAGGCACGUUGGGAAAAUAUGAGGGCAUGACGACACACGUUCUAUUAUGCCACUUUAAAGACUUGAACCUUUUACCCAAUUUAACAUCAAAUUUCUGGGUUGGCUCCUUGGGUAAAGGUAAGAACAUCAAUAGGCCACUAUCUAUACAUCGGAAGUCAAGCUCGUUGGCCUUCAAGUGUGGGGCUCCCAUGUGCUCUUUCAGAGUGUUAAAUUCUAAAAUGUAGGGAUGGUGCUCCUUUUCCCCACAAUCCUUUAUUUACGUAGGUAGAUGGAUUUUCAUCACAUCUUCUAAGCAUAAUGUUGAGAAGUGGUUUGAAUGAGGUCUAUCCCUUAAUUUUGACUCUAGUGCCAUUUUCUUGUUCUUGGCAUCCUUCGCAAUAAAUUAUUCCAUUGGUUGUGAAGUCUCCGAGGCUUCUUCGCUACCAAGCUUAUCAUCAUAGCUUGGUUUCUCUUCUUGAUCCACCUUUUCUUGGGAAAUGGGCAAGAUAUUGGUAUUUGAUAGAUUUGUUUCCUCACCUAUUUCCGCUAUCUUGGCAAUCUCCCUUCCAAAUACCUUAUUGGAUUGAUGCAUGUCUUAUAUAUUUCCCCUAUUAUAGUUACCUGAUCCAAAAUAGUUUGAAGUAUUGCAUCAAAACUAUUGGACCAGGUAUGUUGAUCUUCCUUCUUAUCAUCAAUAAGACCUAUCAAACUCAUAAGAAGAACUAAAAUUUUGGUUAGCAUAAUAAGGGGAGGGAGUAUUGGGACAAUUACUCCAGUGUCCAUCUCGACCACUACAUAAAGAACAAUUAUACCCCCAAUAGGAUAGAGAUGGUGAUUCCUUCUCUCUUCAGGGAACAUAUCUACAAUUUCUCCCAAAGUAGGUCCUUUACAAUAUGGACAUGGAUCCUCAAGAUAGGACUUCCAAAUACCAAAAUCAUAGUAGUCUUGAGAUGACAUAUAGAAAGCUAUACAAAAACAAAAAAUCUACCUAACACGAGAAACAAAAGAAAAUCACAAACAAAUAUUUACAAGUUUGAAUUCAAGCAAGUAAGAUAGAAUUUAAAACUAACUCAAUAAGCCAAAUUCUUUCCCGACAACGAUGCCAUUUUUGAUAAUGCUCAACUUACAUGUCAAUUUAAGUGCAAAGUGAUCAUCGUCAAUAUAUUUACCCAACUUUGGAGCCGGGGUCGAAUCCAUGAGGAACAAUGUGUGUGGCGAUCAAAUUGGCUCGAAUCCACGAGGAACAAUGUGUGAGGCAAUCAAAUUGGCUCGAAACAAUGGAUACUUUCAAAAUUCAAAACUAGAAUACAAGAAGAUAAAAAUGGGGGGUUUGUCAAAUGUCACAACUAAUUUCUUUUGAGAUUUUCUAGUAUUAAUUCGGGACUACGAAUAAUUAAAGUCUAAUCAAUUAGGCAUGGAUCUUGGGAUUAUGCUUUGCUAGGGGAGACAUAUGCAUGAACGUGUGAUGACUUGAUGCAAAUUCUAAAUGUUGGUAAUGUGGUAGGCUAGGUUAGAAAUCCUUGCGUCUAGUUUGUCAACAAAACCUUAAGGGUGUCACUCAUUGACCCUUUCGAGUACCUAAUGAGUUCUUCAAUCAAAACCACCUAAUACCUCAAUUAGACGCCCUUAUUUCUAGGAUGGUGCCCUAAGUAUAGUCAACUUCACAAUCAUCCUUAUGUUUAAGAUAGUGAAAACUAGUUAACCAUGUUCAUAAAUUAUCUAUUAUUUCCUUGGUUCCCAUAUUCUUCUUUCAAGGAUGAUGUGGGUUCCUAAAGUUCACCUAAACCUUUUUUUAAAGGAUGGUUUAGGCUUUCAAGAGCUUGGAAUUUUCACCCACAAACCCUAUUUGGGUAUUUAAGGCUUUCACCCACAAAUCCCAACCAAUUUAGUCAAGCAAUAAUAAAACAUAACAUCACAAACUAGUAAAUGCACAAGUAAAUCACAUCUGACACAUAUUUGCACCCUACUCUAGCAUAACCCCAAGAGGAAAAUUAGCUACUCAUAGAAAUAGACAACAAAAUAUACCCAAUAACCUCCAUUGAUUAGAACUAUGGAAGACUAAGUGAAUGUUACUUAAAACUUUGAAUAUCCAUAAAUCUCCAAUGGGAGUUAGCUAAUCCUUAACUUGGAAGCCACUCUAAUGUAUUCUUUACCUAAAAUUAGUACAAUAUUUUUUUCUCCAAGUAUGGAGGCUAAGAACUAGAACAAAGUUCAAUGAUUGGAAAUUGUAGGAUGAAUAAAAAUGGAAUGAUAGGGUUUGAGUCUUUUUUUGGGAAAAUUUGAGAACAACUGUGUGCAUUUACGGCUUUGCCCUUGGGCUGAUUUUUUGCUAGGCCCCGAUAGCGCGACUGUGGUUAAUGCCACGUGAUAACGGUAUCUUGACCAUUUUGACUGAAUGCAUUCGUGGUCCUCAAACCGUGAUUGCGGUAACUGAGGCUAUGUUUGCUCCAGGUCUUCAGAUAUACUUCUUUGCUUCUUUUUGAUCUUUUUUAGCUCCAAUCUGCAUCUUUCUAUCUCAAUAACAAUGUGCCUAUAAAAUGCGGAUAUUAGUGAAUUUAAUCAUAAUUAUGUCUCAUUUAUUCCUUCAUAACAUGGUAAUGUACACAAAUGAUGAGUGCGAAUGAGUGGUAACAUCACCACUGAUCAAGAAGAUAAUAGUCUCUUUCCAUAAUGAUGAGCUACCAUCUGAAGGGGCCGUGCACAACAAAACACUUCAUAUCGCAGUCAGAUAUCAUGACAAGAUUGUGAAUAGGGUCUUAACCUAUGGUGGUUUGGGUUGUAACUUUUUUCCCUUCUCCACUCUAAGGGAUUUGGGUGUAAAAUAGAAGAUAUAAGAGAGAGUUGAGUGAAGGUCAGAGCCUUUGAUGGAUCUUAAAGGAGUGUCAUUGGAGAAAUCUACCUGAUGCAUAUAGGACCAACUGAAUUUCCUAUCUUAUUUUAAGUCAUGGAUGUAUUGUCUAGUUACACCUUGUUGCUAGGAAGGCCAUGGGUCCACAUGGUAAGAGCUGUUCCUUCCACUUUCCAUCAGUGUGUUAAAGUAUAAGUAGGGUCGCACAGAAGUUAUUGUCAUGGGAAACUCAGUCAUCCUAUCUAUUCUCUCAAUUCAAUUCCAGUCACCGAGGAGUUAGAUGGAGCCAUUGUCCAUACAAUGGAGAUCAUACAAGCUGCAAGGACCAAUGAGAAGAUAGAUCCAAUUGAAGUAAAAAUGUCAAGUGCUACAAAGAUGGUUGCAUCGAAGAUGCUAAAAUAUGGAUAUCAGCUAAAGAUAGACUAGGACCAAAAGUCGAUGGCAUAAUUAAGCCAAUCCAGCUAAAGCAUCAGAGAGGUACUACAGGGCUUGGAUAUAAGCUCGCUUUUGGAGGAGUCUGUAGUAAAAGAUCUGGAGUGGAAGUAUUCGUGCCAACCCAAGUCCCAGUUUCAGAGCAAGUAGUUGAUGAAGACAUCAUAGAGGGGAUAGGAAAUAUAUUUGUCUGUGAUAAAAAAAGAAUCGGAGAUAGAUUUCAAGAAGCUUAGUCUUGCAGAAUUGGACCAUCAGCCCAUCCCUAUUUCGAUAGGAGUCUUGGUAGUGUGGAAUUGUAGUCGCUUUUAAAAUUAUUCUGCUUGCAUGAUCAAUUGAGGCUUGAAUCAUACCAAAGCUCUUUUUGCUACUCGGCUCUUGCCAAAGCCAGUGCUCUUAUUAAUGAAAGUUCUUAUUUUCAAAACUUAUUUUCAAUAUCUAUUUACUUCACUCACUUUUUAUACUUUUCAGUGCAAAUAUUACUACAAAUCCUCGUUCCAUGAUUAUGACAUGUAAUAGAUCUGUUGAGAAAAAUACAAGCGAUGAGCAAGAUUAUGAAGAGUACAAUAAAAACAUGAUACCUGAAAACUUACCACAGGAGAUCAAGAAAAUUGAGAGUCAAAAUAAGCCUAAUAUGGAUGAAACUGAAGUCAUCAAUGUGGGUGAUAAAGAAACGGUAAAGGAAACGUGAGUCAACAUACACUUGGAUACUAAAAGGAAGCAAGAAUUGAUAAGCCUGCUCAAGUAAUACAUUGAUGUGUUUGCUUGGUCUUACAACGACAUGCCUGGUUUGAGCACUGCUAUCAUCUCGCAUUGACUUCCAUUAACCCCGCAUAUCCACCGGUGAAGCAAACAACGAGGAAAUUCAAACCUAAUUUGAGUUUAAGAAUCAUAGAGGAGGUGACCAAGAAGAUAGAAACUAACACCGUGAGAGUUACAAAUUACUUCACAUGGUUGGCCAAUAUUUUUCCAGUGCCGAAGAAGGACAUGAAGAUAAGAAUAUGCAUAGAUUAUCGGGAUCUCAACAAGGCUAGCCCAAAAGAUGAUUUUUCUCUCCUAAAUAUUCACAUUCUCAUUGAUAAUUGCGUAAAACAUGAGUUGCAUUCAUUUGUUGAUUAUUUUGUGGGAUAUCAUCAAAUCCUGAUGGAUGAGAAUGAUGCAGAAAAGACAGCCUUUAUCACUCCGUGGGGAGUAUACUACUAUAAGAUAAUGCCAUUUAAACUUAAGAAUUUCGGUGUAACUUACAUGGGAGCCGUGACUACCGUUUUCAUGAUAAGAUUCAUAAAGAGAUCGAGGUGUAUGUGGAUGACAUCGUUAUCAAGUCUAAAAAGAGUUCGGACCACCUGGAUGAUUUACGAAAGUUUUUUGAAAGGCUGCGAAGGUCUGACCUAAAGUUGAAUCCAGCCAAAUGCGUCUUUGGAGUUCCCCCAAGAUAGUUAAUGGGAAUCAUUGUUAGUAGAAGAGGUAUAGAGUUGGAUCCGUCCAAGAUAAAGGUAAUCCAAGACUUACCACCUCCUAAGACCAAAAAGGGCGUAAUGAAUUCUUAGGAAGACUCAAUUACAUCAGUCGGCUCAUAGCCCAGUCCGUGAUAAUUUAGGAAACCAAUAUUCAAGUUAUUAAAGAAAGAUGCCACCACUGAAUGGACUGAAGAAUGUUAGAAGGUUUUCGAUAAAAUCAAAGAGUACUUGUCCAACCUACCAGUGUUGGUUCCACCAGAGCCCAGGAAGCCAUUGUUGUGAUAUUUAUCUAUUAUGGAUAAUGCAUUUGGAUGUGUGUUAGGGCAACAUGAUAAUUUAGGAAGGAGGGAACAUGCCAUUUACUACCCGAGUAAGAAGUUCACACCGUAUAAAGCAAGGUAUACAUUGUUGGAACAGACUUGUUGUGCAUUGACUUAGGUCGCGCAAAAGUUGAGGCACUAGCUAUCCACGUAUACCAUGUACUUGAUUUCAAGAAUGGAUCUACCCAAGUACAUCUUUUAGAAACCGAUGUCUACUGGAAAAUUAUCAAAAUGGAAAUUUUUUUUGAGCGAGUUUGAUAUUAUGUACUUGACACAAAAAGCCGUUAAAGGACAAGCUUUAGCUGAACACCUCACAGAAAAUUUAGUGGAUUAAGAUUGCAAGCUACUCAAGACCUACUUUCCUAAUAAAGAGGUAUUGUUUGCAGAAGAAGAUAUCUUAGAACCGUAUGAUGGAUGGAGAACGUUCUUUGAUGGAUCGUCGAUCUUUAAGGGAGUCAGAAUUGGAUCAGUUCUUGUUUCACAAAUAGGUCAACAUUAUCCGAUCUCGGCAAAGAUCAGGUUUCUUUGCAUGAAUAACAUAGAAGAAUAUGAGGCUUGUAUUCUCGGACUUAGGAUGGCAGUAGACAUGAACAUCAAAGAGCUCUUAGUGGUAGGAGAUUCAGAUUUGCUGAUCCAUCAGGUGCAAGAAGAAUAGGCCACCAAAAAUAUCAAAAUUCUUUAUUAUGUGAAAUGUAUGAAUGAGCUGAGUAAAAGGUUCAUGAAGAUUGAGUUCAGAAAUGUCCCUCGAAUUAAAAAUGAAUUCACCGAUGCCUUAACAACACUAUCUUCAAUGAUUCAGCAUCCAGAUAUGAAUUACAUCGAUCCCAUCAAGGUGGAGAUACUCGAUCAAUAUGCAUACUUUUUUCAUAUUGAUGAAUAACCAGAUGGAAAGCCGUGGUACCAUACAUCAAAAGGUUGCUCAAAGUAGGGGAAUAUCCAGAAAUCUCUACUAUCAAGCAGAAGAAGUCUUUAAGAAGGAUGGCCAAUCACUUUUUUCUCAACAAGGAUAUCCUAUAUAGGAGGAUCCCGAAAUUGGGAUUGCAAUGAUAUGUUGAUUCCAUGGAAGCCACAAGACUGUUGGAGGAAGUAUAUGUAGGAACUUGUGGACCCUACAUGAAUGGUUUCAUACUUUCAAAGAAGAUUUUGAGAGCUGGAUACUUUUGGAUAACCAUAGAGAGGGAUAGCAUUUGAUACGUGCAAAAAUGUCACCAGUGUCAAGUUCAUGGGGACUUUGUACGUCUUCUUGGCCGUUCGCUACUUGGGGCAUGGAUGUUAUUGGGCCCAUAGAUCCUCCUGCAUCUAAUGGACACCAUUUCAUCUUAGUUUCUAUAGAUUAUUUCACAAAAUGGGUUGAAGUUUCAACGCACAAGGCAGUGACUAAGAAAGUCAUAAUAGAUUUCAUCUGCAAUAAUUUGGUCUAUCGAUUUGGGAUUUCAUAGUCAAUCAUAACAAAUAAUAGAGCCAAUUUUAAAAGCAACCUGAUAAGAGAUGUUUGUGAAAGGUUUAAGAUCGCUCAUCAAAAUUCCACGGCAUAUCGACCAUAAAUAAAUGGAGCAGUUAAGGAUGCAAAUAAGAACAUUAAGAGGACCUUGAGGAAGAUAGUGGAUGGUAAUAGGGAGCUUCUCAUCUAUCGCACCACGAUCAGAACAUCCACUGGGGAAACUCCCUACAUAUUGGUUUACGGUUCGGAAGUAGUGAUACCUGCAAAAGUGGAGAUACCUUCAUUAAGGAUCAUUAAGGAGGUUAGUCUGGAUGAUGCUGAAUAGAUUUGUAGUAAGAUCUAACAGUUGAUGCUUUUUGAUAAGAAGAGAUUGGACGCAAUCUGUCAUGGUCAACUCUAUCAAAAUAGAAUGAUCAAGGUGUUCAAUAAGAAAGUCAAACUUCAUCGAUUCACACUAGGAUAAUUGGUAUUGAAGAAGAUAUUCCCUCACCAAGAUGAAGCCGAAGGGAAAUUUACACAAAAUUGGCAAGGUCCCUACAUAGUUCACCGAGUACUCUCAGGAGGAGAAGUAAUCCUUGCAGAGAUGGAUGGAACAGUAUGUACGAAGUCGAUCAAUUCAGACACCAUCAAGAAGUACUACAUUUGAAGACAUUAGAACUAGUUGUUAUUUCCUUGUACUUUUGUAUCUUCUUUUUGACGUAACAGAAAUAUGUAAUACCCUGAAUUCCCAUGGCAGGAUACGUAGGCAGCCCACAUAGGGUAUGAUUUCCCUUAGAAAACCCCAAAACAUCAUCCUUUCAUGUAUUUAGAUCUACGCUCAACCUGACUUCUCAUGGCGGGAUAUGUAGGCAGUCCUCAUUGGAUCCAGUCCCUUCAUAUUUUUACUUUUUUGUUGUACUGAACUACGACCUGAACUGAUUUCACUUGGAUACGUAUGCAACCUGAGUCAGGUUCGGUCAAUGCAUUUCAUAUUUUCAUUCCUCCCCUUGUAUUUGAACUACGUCAUGACCUGAUUCUACUUGGAUAUGUAGGCAUUCUGAGUCAGACUCGCUCGUUGCAUUUUAUUUUCCUUUUCUACCCUCGAACAUUAUAUCGACCUGAUUCUUUUUUAAGGACACAUUGGCAACCUGAAAGGUUCGGUCUUACCUGUAGGAAAAAUCCCUUUUUGCUCAUAGUAUAGCCCCAGAAUAUAAGUGAUCUCCCCGCCAGAAUCGUCAUAGCAUCGAUAAAGUCAGACGAGCUCCACCCGAAGAAUAAAGCUACGUGGGUCACGAUAAACAAAUGGAGGCUUAACAGAUUUUAGAACAUGUCAUAAUUUAAAACAAUGGAGGAUUACUAUAUAUACUUAAUAUAUACAUAAUAUAUUUGCGAAUAUAUAUAUAUAUAUAUAUAUAUAUAUAUAUAUAUAGAUAUAUAUAUAUAUAUAUAUUUCAAAAUACUUUCCUACCACUCCAAAUUUGGGAAUGAUCGAGUAACUGAGGAUGUGUUGGAGGAUUCCAUAGAUAAAGCUAGGAUCCCCAAGUCAACACAAAUUAACACUCCUUCCCAACUAAGAAUCUUUCUUUGAGCAGAGGAAAAUAGAAAUCGAAAAGGACAAUAUCAAGUCAAGAUUUUGGGACAGGAUCAGAGGCAUCAUGCAGCUUAUCACUACUAAAUGAGUCAAAUAUUCUUCCCUCACUUUAUCUCUUUACAUACAUUUAUACUAAUCCUCACCAACUCUAAGAGUUUUAUUUGAAUUCUUUCGCAGGUAUAUUUUAAAAACCCGAUUCAGAGAUUCCGAAAAGAGGAUCCUCAUAGAAAACUUAGGCUAUUUUACUUCUUCCAAUAAAUUCCUCCAAUCGGAGCUAGCCACAUGACUGCAUCGAAUAACUUUGCCAAUCUAAGAAUAAUUGUCUAAUCGAGUCAAAUAAACUCCUCCAACCAGAGAAUGUCGUCUAACUCCAACAAACUCAAACUCCCGCAUUCCGAGGACUGUACAUAAGCAAAUAAAGUCAAACUUUCGCGUUUCAAGGACUGUAUAUAAGCAAACGAAGUUGAAUUCCAUAUUUUGGAGAUUGUACAUAAGUAAGGAAAAUGACCCUCUGCCAUAUUAGAGGAUGCGAGUGAGCGAUAUAACUCUCCUCCAUAUAAAAAGUUAUGCACCAGCAAGGGGAACAACUCGCCGCAGAUUGAGGAAUGUACAUAAGCAAAGCAGCACUUUGCCAUAUCGAAGAAUCGCAUUUCAGCAAACAUAGAACAGUCUACUAAUUAGAAACUCACAUCAUAGCAAGCACGCCAGAAAGCCUCCUAUUACAGCAAAUGCAUCUAAAUCCACCAUGGUGGCAACAAGAGAGCCACUAUCGUAGUAGCAUCAAAUCCCAACAACAAUACCAUCGUCUUGUUCAGAUCGGAGGUCGCCUGGCAAAGACGAGGCUGUUACUUUUAAGCAGUUGCCCCGCCAGUUGGAGGCUUUACUCUUCAACCACUGCUCGUUAGUCAGAUGAUAUUUAUUUUUCAACAACUGCCCGCCAGUCGGAUGUCUUUAUUCUUCAAGAAAUGUCCGCCAUUCAGAGGGUGUAUUCUUCAACUGCUCGCUGUUGACACUCAAAUUUUGUACUCCGUGCUUAAAAUUAAUGUCUUCUGGCUUCUUGAUCGUUAAAGGACACGAAACACAUUUUUCACUUAUUUUUUACAAUUGUUGAUAAAUUAUUGAUAAUCAUCAUUACUUUAGAAUUUUAUCAAUUUAUUGUAAUAUUUUGCUUUUUAUAAUUUAUUAAUAAUUCUCUAUACAUUGAGAUUUUUCUCAAUUCAUUAUCGUCUUUAACAUUUUUUUUACUACCAUCUGCACACGUACACGACAUGACAUCACAUUUUUAUAACAUUUUAAAAUUAAUUAUAUUUUUUAAUAAUUUCAAUAUUCCUAGCAUAUUUUCAUAAUUAUAAAUCAAUUUCUAAAAUUUUUAUAGUCUGCGAAUGCUAAGUCAGAUCAAUUAUUUUUACACAGUAUAAUAAUUCGAUGUCUUGUCACAUCCGACAACAACCACAUAAUAAUGAUUUGUCACAUUUGACAAUGACACUAUCCUUUGAACAAUAAUUUUAUAUAUUGGUUAAAAGAAUGAAAAUCCUUUGGUCAAUAACCCAAGGUCCAAAAGGUGCUCUCAAAGAAAAAGUAGGGACACCCUUUUAUCCUUUUGGAUGAAAAGAGGUGCCAUUUUUAAUAUAAUAAAUGAAUAGGGGUUAAUUUUAACAAAGAAAGACAUACAAUUCACACACACACACUCACAAAUACACACAACUCUCUUCUCUCUCCCUUCUUUCUUCUUCACUAUUGCUGUGGCCCGCCAUCACUGUUCCCGACGAGUGAGCUUCGAUAACACCACCACACGCUUUCCUUUUUCUUUGUCAUUACCAUCGACGAAGCCGAACCCUGGGCGAUUGAAUACUUCUAACAUUAGCCAGCGCCACCUCCACUUCUCCACUAUUGCUUCGCUGGAGUUGGCCGCUAGCGAGCGAAUCCACAAGCCUUCAUCUUUCCAUCCACGAUGUUAGCGACCUCCACUGAGGUAUCGCCCCUACCCCUUUCUUUAUUUUUGUCAUUAGAUUUAGCCACCGGAUGAUCUACACCAACGUCCAACCCCCUCCGCUCCCUUUUUUCCACCGCCUCGCUAGAAUUAAUGGCCAGCAGGCUCCUAAGGCACCACUACCAUGACGUGUGUUAAUUAAAUUCACACAUUUACGUCAUUAGGUAGUUUUUAUUUUCAAGUAAAAUCUUUAUUUUUCUCUCCAUAAUUUUGAUAGAUAGUGUUAUUUGCAAAAAUAUUUUUCUUUUUAUAGUAUACAAAGGACAUUUUUCUUUUCAUACAUCACAAGAUACUUUUCUUUUUCACAUGUAAUUUGUACAUUUUUUAUACUUAUCUUUUACCAUAUGUUUUAUUUAUAUACUAUAUAUAUAUAUAUAUUUAUAUACCUUUACAUAGUUUUAAACAUUUAUAUUUUUCAAAAGAAUUAUUUAUACUUAAUACACAUACACCUUUUACAUUAUUUUAAAUAUACCUCCUUCCUCUUUUAAAAAUUUAGUCUAUCCGGAUACGACAUUUGUGGAUCCUUAAGGGUGUCUAAUACCUUCUGUUAGGGAUAAUUUGAACCCUUAUCUAGAGUCUCAAUUGAUUUUUUGCAGACUGAAACAUAAAUCACACAUGUUAAUAAUUCAAUAGGUUUUCUUAUUUUUCUUAAAAAUUAUGUGGCGACUCUGUACAAAUUUUUAAUUCAUUUAGAGUUCAUAAGUCAAGUUUUGUUUAACCUUGAUAAAACAAUAAGGCAUGACAUUCUCCAGUUGGAUGACUUUAUGCCACAACAAUCAUCCUGCCGACGGAGGAUCAUUAAAUUUAAGUCAUUGCCCUGCCAGUCGGAGGCCCCUAUAAAUAGAGAUCAUAAUACUAGUUUGAAUAUCUAAACUCUACUACUUACAUUACAAUUUCAAUUUACAAUUUUUGAACAACAUGUACUUUUUACCCUUUUUACCUGUUUUGCAGGAUAGCACACUAUAACGUGGACCUACCCUCUUAGCAGCAAAAUGGGGCAAGCUAGCGGUAUGUCAAGCAUCCUUAGCUACGUCAAGGAUUUCGGCAAAACUCAACUUAACUCGACUCAGUCAUCUCAUUUUUCCUUAGUGUCAUAGCCCGAUGCCGUUUUAAUCCAACACUGGGGCGAUUUUUAAAAACCUACAAUCUUUUUUCUCUCUCAAAAUCCUCAACAAAUAUUGCUAUCCAACGUCUUCUUAUUCACAACUAUUCCAAAAAACAUUGCAGGGACAAGUGCGCCCGUAUCCAUUUCAUUCGUACUAAAAUCUUCGUAAUCACCUGCAAAGGAAUCUAGUGUCACCAUAAUUCUACACUGAGGAAAAUUUUGCAUUUGAUCAAAAUUUUCUAUGAUUCGAACUACAAAUGGCCUGAUUUAUUGUGAAAUUCAAGAUAUGCAGGCAGCUCAAAAACUGAAGCUCGACCAUAAUCUUUCAAAAUUUUCAUUUUUGCUCGAAACAAAAUUGGUUACGUCAACGUGGUUGCCCAAAGAUUUUCACACUAAUCUUUGGUCAAUCAGGAGCAAACUAUCGACACCUAAUUUUGGCUCGUUUUUUUUUCUCUAAUUAUUUUGCCGAUACUUCUUGGCCCUUAAUAAUUUUUUAAAAUAAAUUCAUGUUUUUAUUUCUAUUUUUGUGAAUUUUGAGAAGAAUAAAAAAGAGAAUUUAUUUUCCUAUAAUAUUGUAAAAUAUCUUAAUUAAAUAUUUUUAAUUAAUUAUUUUAACAUCAAAAUCAUACGAAAAUAUUUUAAUUGCAUUCACAUUUUUCUAGCGUCUUAUUAUAUUCAGUCGAUACUUUGUGACUACAUGUAUAUAAUCUUAUAUAAUAUAUAAAUUAUAUACAUGCUUAUAUAUAUUUAUAUACAUAUUUUUGUAAAUAUUACAUUACAGAAUUAUUAAAUUGGACGAGUAUACAAAUUACGUCUAUAAUUUAUAUACGUUAUACUAAAAAUCAUUUUAGGGUAGUAGGAAGUAUCAAUAUAAUUAAUUUUUAUAGAAAAGAGCAUUUGAGUCAACAUUAAUUCAAUACUUUAUUUUACCAAACCCAACUCUUACCUAUAAAAUUUCACCCGAAAAAGUUCAAAAUUGGCCCUUAACUCGGUCCAAUAUCCAUUUCUACCUCAUCAAUCCACCCGAUACGAUAUCCACCAAUCCUACGCUACCACGUUAGUAAAGAAACACUGUUCUCACCCAACAAACAUCAAUUGAUCCGGUCCGUCUAUUUAUUUCGAAUCUAAUGAUUCCAAAAUUUUCAGUUAUUUUUAUAUAUAUGUUAUUAUUUUUAUAAGAAAAAAUAUCCUAAAAAAUCCAAUCCUUUACCCGAAAUUUCAACUAUACACUUGAACUUCAUGAGAGUCCCAUCACUUCUUUAAACUUUUUAAAAAUAAAAAUAUUUGCUCCCCAAACGCUGAGGUGGCAAAGUCAGUGCAUUUCGCUCUCUUUGAGAGAGUGAGCACGAAAAAUUACUUAUUAAAAUUUUAUUUUUAAUAUUUAUUUACAUAAAUAUAUAUAAUUUUAAUUAUUAUUUUUAUUUAUUCAAUUUCAUUCCUCUUACUCUUCUUCCUCUCUCCCAUAAAAUAAAAAAGCUUCAAAAAUUCAUCAAUAAUGUCUAAGAUUAAUCUCUUGUCUUCCUUAUCUCCAAUGAGUCUCAUCAAUUUAAUUUUCUUUUUUCUUUCACUCUCUUUCAUCAUAACACAUUUGUCAUGUAAGCUCUUGAUUAUUUUUUAUUUUGAUUUUCUUUCUCGCUUCAUCAAUAUUCAGAUUUUCAAGAACCUUUUCUAUUCUUCUAUGAUUUUACCUCAAAUCUAACCUUUCACUUGCAAGUACAAUUUAGUUCUAGUAAUUUUUUAUUAAUCUCUCAAUCUAAUCACCCCAAUGUGAGUUUUCGUUUCAAAAAAAUUUGACCCAAAAAUAACAAAGAAAAUAACAACAAAAGCUAAAGUUGAUCUUGGUUUUUGGUUACUGAGUCAAAGUUCAUUGUUCUAAUUACUUAUAUGAUGAGUUAAUUAGUAGUUAUAUGGGAGAUUUAGAAAGACUGCUAUUGUGUUUAUUUUCCUUCAUUUUUCUUCAUUUUCUGAUAUGAAAUUUGUCGGUUGAAUUUGGAGCUUUUCUGAUAUCCAGUUUUCUUCUUCCGUUCUAAUGAAAGACUGUCAGUAGAUGAAUAUUAAUUUGCCUUGAUAAGAGUCAAAUUUAGGAUGAAAGUAGUAUGGGUGGGAUAAAGUAUUUUAUUUGAUUCUACCUUGUCAUUAUAUUGUAUAUUUGCUUAUUGUAUAGGUGUCCUAUACCCACUCCAACAAGAUUAUCCAUAAAUAAACUUGCGAAAAAGAUUUUUAAAAAAUAUCAACCAGAUGAUCCAAUCCUCCUGAGAAUCAAUUGGAAGCUUAUGGACAGCUAUGAGAUCUUGGGUUUUUAGUUGGCAUUGGAGUUUGCUUUUCCAUACAAAUACAAUCAAAUGUUUAGCUUUGGGUCCAAUUUCAGGGAGACAUGGCUGGUCAUUUUGUCUCUCACUACAUGGAUGUGGAUCCCUCCCACACUUCUUUUCCUAAAAGGGUAAUUUAGUAAUUUUGGACUCAAUUAUUGGUAAUUUGAUGUUAGUCUUUGUAAUACCUAAUUAACCACAUUUAACUUUUUUUUUUUUUUUUGGAAAUGUGCUUUUUAAUUCCUUUGCUUAUGAUAAUCAUAAAUUUCUUAAAGUAUUAACCAUUUAAUCAUUCAUGUGUUAUGUUAAGCUAAUAUAUUUACUGCAUAUUCUAGUUAAAAGUAAUAUGCUUGAAGAUAGUCUAACAAUAUAAUAAUUUCCAUUUUUUUUUGGUGGACAAUAUAAUAAUUUCCUUGCAUAGAGGAACCGGAAACACACAUUUUAUAACUAAUUGAAGGACAAAAAGAAUUAUUCUCUUUUUUCUAAAAUUAGUUUAUUAUCCUUUUCCUAAAAUUUGUAAAUUGUUCUUUUAAGAAUUAUUUACCUUUUUCUUUAAAAAAGAAAAAUAAGCAUGAAUAAGAUAAUCACAUUAAGUUGUUAAAAAUGAUUCUGGGUGUGACAAGCAAGAUCAUAUUCUACAAUCUAAACCAUUAAUUUUUUUAGAUGAGUUUAAUUUCAAUAUCAAUAUCCUAAUCGUGUACAUAGUUUAAAAAAAUUAUUAAAUCACCUAAUAAAGGUAAUUAUAGAUAUAUAUCUCUAAUAGUUGAAAUUAAUAUAUGAAAAAUGAACAAACAAAUCUAUUAUCACAUGCAAAAUUAUACUAAUACUGUAAAAAUCUGCGGCCCUAAUGAUGGAGCAUUAGAGCGGGUCAAAGUGAAGGAUUGAUAGGUUUUUAAAUUGACAAGCUUAUGAAAAUGAGUACACAUGACAUCUUAAGCGAAUUUCACAUCGAAAUGAAUUAAAAAGAUGAAAGUGACAACUUCUAUCAUAAGGGGUUAUUUUGUUGCUGGUUGGUGUUAUAUAGGAUUUAGUUAUUUAUGUAUUGUUAUUUAUUUCAUCUUCUACCCUACAUAAAAAAUGCAUAACUUUCCUCAUAAUUUAUACAUAUGGACCAUGAGGAAUUAUAAAUUGAAAAUCAAGCACCAUAUUUAGUGUGCUGAAUUUACAUAACUAUUUAAUACAUGAAUAUUUUAAUUUCUAACCAACAAUCAUACUAUGCAUAUCAGUAAACUCCACACGCUGAAAUUCGGACGUGGUAGAUAAGUGACCUCUUAAUUUCUCAAAUAUAUACUUAAAAGAGACAAGUGUGGUGAAUUGUGGUGAGCGUGUUAGUAGGGGCAAACACUACCCAAUUGUCAAGUAGCUCAAGACCCAAAGACCACGGUCAAGUUGCCAAUUGCAUUGUAACUUCCUUCUCUGCUGCUUGCAGUAUUUGUUAUGUUUUGUUUCAUAACGUAUUGUAUUAUUUUGUUUUAAUAAGUAUAAUGUAUGAAUAGAUUGUAUUAUUUCUGAUCGCUAUACUAUCUCACACAUCAAUAAUUUGAAGAAUCCAAAAAAAAAGUAAAAUAUGAAGUAGAUUAAUAUAAGAAGACUUGACAAAAUAUGAUUUAUUAAAUAACAAAUAAGAUAUAGUGACCAACAUGGGUUGUGGUGCAGUGGAUGCUCCACCUUUAAUCAGAGGUCCAGGGUUCGAUUCUAGACAUGCAGAAAACUCUGUUGGGAGCGCUGCCACCUUAGUACUGCAACGCGCGAUCCAAAUUAGUCGGGGCUCCAAUGCGGGCACUGGACAUCGGAUGAAAAAAAAAAGAUAUAAUGAGAAAAGAAUAUAAGAUAAUGAUGAAAUCACACUGAAGGGUUGGGAGGAUAGCUCCUCAACUCAGAGACUUGUUCCUAGAUAUACUCAUACAACAAGAACUAGGAGAUAUGUAAGGUAAGAAGUGGAGGAAUAAAGUAAAUAGAAGAGACACAACAAGAACAUGAAAACUCUUUGCUCAAGCAAGAAAAACAAUGACCUGCCUCUAGGAUUUCUAAGCUCCACAAUACUCAAGCAACUUCUUGAAUACAGACAUAUAAUGAGAAAAGAAUAGAAGAUAAUGAUGAAAUCACACUGAAGGGUUGGGAAGAUAGCUCCUUAACCCAAAGACUUGUUCCCAGAUACACUCACACAACAAGAACUAGGAGAUAUGUAGGGCAAGAAAAGAGAUAAGGUUUUUAUGUGAAAACUCCUUGCUCAAGGAAGAAAAACCACGACCUGUCUCUAGGAUUUCUAAGCUUCACUAUAAUCAAGCAACUUCUUGAAUAUAGAAUUCAAAGAUUAACCUCCUAAUCCCUUGUUUCCUAGCAAUAUAUCCUUUGUUUCCUAGCAAUAACUCUAUUACAAGGAAACACAAGCAAUAACUCUACUACUUCAACCUCUAGCUACCUCUAACUGGACACACCAAGGUAACUCUAUCUUGAAACAAUCACCUAACUCUAGAUGAUUAGAAGAGGAAGGUUCACAUCUCAACACCUACUACAAUCAUAAGCAAAUGUAGGCAAACGUUUAAGAAUAAUUUAUAAAGAUUCAACUAUAACAAGGAAAUAAAUACAACUCGAUGAACAAUCAGUUUCCUACUGCAGUGACGUCUUUGAUUUUUUACUUCAAAAGAUAUUUAGUUGUGAGAAUAUGGAACCAUUGAUUUUCCUGUAGAGGAAGAUAAGCAAUAUGUAGUAUGAUCUAAGAAAACCUAGGAAAGAUCCCAUUGGUUGAGGCAAAAAGGUGGCAACAACUUUUCCACUAACUUUGUACUAUAUGUCAGCUGUGAUAGUUGACUGUGAUAGCGACAGAUGAGUCUAACUUAUUUCCUAAGUGGUAACAGCUUUGUCAUCACGAAAACUCCAGGAAACAGGUCCUAAGCUAUAAGUUUGUCAAUCAUCAAAACUAAGGACGUAACAAUUUCCCCCUUAUUUAUGUCUUCAAGCAACUUCUACUGAGCAUGAUUUUCAAUUUAGAAACAUAAACAACAACCUUUGCCCCAGUUUCCCAGCCAAUUCCCCUAUCACUGAUACCAUAAGUCUAUAAGCAUCCUACACCUUAUUUUCCCUAUCAAUGAGCAUCAAGUUCCCCUUUAGUGAGAGAACUUAAAUCUUCACAAACAUAUAUCCUACACCCUAUUCACAAACACAUAUCCCCACCUAGUCAAAUUAUUACAAGCAGCUACUCAAACUUUCCCCCUUUUGGUAUUAUCAAAGAGGUUAAGUAAUAAAUCAGGCAUAGGUAAGCAUAUGUGUUAAUUCAUGACCAUUGAGGCAACACUUACAUGAGUAAGAAAAGAUCAGAUAAAAAUGAGUGAAGCAAUAGUACAGAGAACAAAUUACAUUUAUUCAACAAUCAGUACUAAAAACCAUUCAAACAUGAAAAUCAUUAAACAUGUCAAAAACAACAAUGCUAGGUACGUCAUAGAAAAAAGAACAAGGAGAAUCACAGGGCUUAAAGAUAGGGCUAGAAAAUGUAAAAGAGUAGGGACCAUAGUGUAAAGGAUUUAGGAAAAAAUUCUUGUAGCUCGAUCCAGCUGCCUGAGGAGUAUAUUCAUUCUUUCAUGUUCUGCAACAUGGGCCUUGAGAAUUUGUUGAUUCAGAGCUUCAUUUUUUGCAGUCAAGGCUUCAACUUUAGCUUUCAAAUUCUCUACACUCUCAUGUAAGGCAUCAUCAUUUCCACCAAAGCUAGUCCCCUCUUCUCCUUAGUUGACUGAUGUAACUUUAAUGCAACAAUCUUAGAAUUCUUUAAAGUAGUUAUGGUAGUCAUAGACUCUAAUUUUUUCUUCAAAUUAUUUGUACUUCCACUAGUUUAGAUACAAGGGACUUGGAAUUCUCACCACCUCUCCUGGGAAUACACUCAUUGUCCUCUAGAGUAGUCAUGUUAAAUAUUUUCUUAACCAAUUUAACUUUUCCUUGUUCACACACUACAUUGAAGUAAUCAAAGAUCAUGUUAAGGCAAAACCUAUAUGCCAACCUAUGUUUUUCAUCUUUAGCAGUCAUCACUGUAAGCAUAUGUUUAAUGAUGAGAACAGGAAGACUUAUUUUCUUAAACUUGGCCAGUAUCCCCAUGAGAUAUAAAUCAGGACCUGUGAUAGUGGUUUUUUUCUGAUCUAGACAAAAGACAUUUAUUCACCAACUCAAAGAGUAGUUGGUACUCACUCUUCAGAGCCUUUUUGGUAACAUUAUUCAUAUUCGUAUUAUCUAGAUUACUACAAACCAUCAAAAACUUGGCUGAUCCUUCUUUCUUUCUUACAAAUUUUAUUCCCUCAGUAGGAACUUUCAAGAUUUUAGUCAUUAUCUCCUCAUCAACAGCAAUGUUAGUUCCAUUCACCAGAAAGGUCAUGUACAAACCAUCUUUAAAGCAUGUCAGGUUGUAAUAAAAAUGAUGCACUUCCUAUUCAUAUAAAAGAAGAACAUAUCCCUUAAAUAGAUGGUCCCUUUCUUAAAACUUAACUCACUUGAUUAAUUCCUUCAUUCUAGGAAACUCAAUUACUGAAAGAUCAAACACCCUACCUCUAAAAAAUUCCUGAGUUUUCAGAGUUUCUUGCCUUGCCUUCCUCGAUAAUUCUUUGCCCUUCACAGUAGAGGAGAAGGAUAUUUUUUAGGCACCAACCCUCUUUCCAGAUGACCCAGGGGCUACUGAGAUUUUUGCAACCUUGGGGAUAGGACCUGGUUCCUUAUUUCCUACAGAUUAUACCCCUUUUCUUUUUCUAACCAUUUUAGACACUGGCUCUUUCAGCUGAACUACCUUCUUUUUUCUUGAAGAAGUAGUUUUCUUACUUCUUCUAGGAGAUUUAGUUUUCUUCCCUUUCACCUUAACUCUUGUAGGUCUUACACUUCUUUCAAUAUUCGAAUCAAUAACAUCACUAUUAAAAAUAUUAUCAUCAUCAUCAUCAUCAGCAUCAGGAAGGCUUGCAAAAACAUCAUCAAUACUGUCAAAGUCACUAUCCUUGCUAUCAUCAUUCUCUCUUUCCUCGUUAGACUUAUCAAUAACUACUGGAUCAGUAAUAUGUAUUCCUAUAUUUUUCUCCAUCCUUCUCCUUUUGGUGUCAUUCUUAUUCUUAUAUAAAGCUUCUUUCAUUGCAUUUCUGGAGCUCACUUUGUUCCCUAGCGUCCCGCUUCUUUCUAAAGACAAUGAUUCUUUCUUGGACAAUUUCCAAGACAAUAGCUUAUUAUCAUCACUAUCUAAGGCACUUCGUGUAGACUUAUUCUCGCCUUAGAGAUCAAGCACUUGGGGAAUGUCUCAUGAUUGUUGCCAUCACCAGAGGGAAAUUUUUUUUCCUAUUAGUAAAAGAGUUUCAUGAGGAGUUUCUUAUCUUGGGGGUUUAGCACUUAAAGCAGUAAGACCUUGUAUUCAUAUUUCCUUACUCAUAGCAUGCAUGUUGGAGGGAGACUUCCUAGAAGUAGGUAAAUCUUCAAACAUGGUUUCAUCUAAGAAAGCGUUGCCUGAUUUGCUGGAGGAAACAAACUUGUCAGAGGAGAAGGUUUAGGUUUUUGAGGAGGAAACAAAAUCUUGACUGGAAGAAAUUGGUUAAUCAGAGACUGAUUCCUCAAACUUGUUGUCUUGAGUGAUGAAUGUAGAAAAAGGCGUUUGAGAAGUUGAAUUUAGGAUCCUUCCUCACUAGGAAUAGGGUUUUCAGAGGAGGUAAUUUGGGAGUUUAAGUCGACAUCGUUAAUAUUUUACCCUUUUAAUGAGAGUCAUUAAGAAUUUUUCUCUUUUUAGAGUUGAAAUUUCUCACAAUUUUGUGUAGGAAGAGAGGAGAAAACUUAGUGAUAGCAGCUAUUUAUUCAGACCCAUAAGGAAUAAAAGGUGUGUCAAUAAUUUUUAAGGGGUUGGGUUCAAUUUUUUGGGAAGAAGAGGAGGGGUUUGACAUAGUAGAGAUUGAGUAAUCUUGUACAAGAGUAACUGGUAUGAGUUUUGAGACUGUUUAGGAACUAAUGAGGCUUGUGCGAUAUAGUUCUUCAAAAUGAUGGAGAGAGAGAGUCUAAUUUAUGACUUUAAAUAGUAUAAGAAGGAACAAUUCAAAUUUGAUGAAAAAUGUAUCUGAUGUGAUGUGUCUGGUUAGAUGAGUUCAUAUUUUGGGUUUAAAGUAUAGGUGACAACUUUUUGAGAAGGAGGGAGAGUGAUGUGAAACAUAUAUUUAAUGUUUAAAUGAUUAUUAUAUACGAAUAACAAAUGAUACUGACCUAAUUUGGGACCUGAUCCCUGAAUAAUUUUGAAGACAACAUUCUGUGCUAUCUCACAUUCCUCUUUUUUAUCUUUUCCUUCUUGACAAGAGUGUAUAUCUGCAGAAGAUAUAAAACUAAAUUAGACAUGUAGAUCACUAUCUAGCCAAUAUACUUGCUUACCCUUUCAUAACCAUUGAGGUAGAAUUGUGAAGACAACUAUCAUUCAUCUGGAUCUCAUAGGCUUUGUCUCCCUAUGCUUUUCUCAACCAGUUUCCUACUAUUGUUCUUCAAAGAAACACAAGUAUAUACUAAAAAGACCUUGCAUCUUUUAAGGGCCUAAUGCAAGAGGUACUCUUUUAAUCAUUUAGUUAUAUGCUCUAAGCAGCCAUCUUUAAUCACGUCUGCAUUGGAUGCUACCUCUUCCUUUGCCCUGUGUCACAUAUCAAUCAUUAAUCUUAGAAACCCAUUUCAGUCUGAGUUCCUAAUAGGAGGAUAGAGGAUAAAUCAGCUUCUUCUUAGUCCAGCUGGGUAAUCUUUUUUUCCCUUUUUUGGAGCGAUGAGUUUUUCUAUCUUCCUAUGAUUUGUUUCUUUGAGAGGACACAUUCUUCUCGAGUAUCAACACUUUCCACACUAUGAACAUAAGUGAUCAUCCUUGCCCUUUGUGUGCCAGACAAUAUAGUUAAAACCUUCACCUUGACAGUAGUAUUCUGAACCACUCUUGAUAUUUGGAUCUUGAGAGGUGAGAGUAGUAAGAGCUUGUGGUGAAGAGGUCCACUGAAGCGUCUUUGUAAGAUCAGUUCUUACUCUAGCCAGUUCCUCUUAAAGAAUGGAAUAUCUUUCAAGAGAAACAGUCAUAUUGAAUUUAGCUUCAACUACUUCUUCUUCCAAUUAAAACUGUAUACUAUUUCCCUCUGCUUUACCUUUGGAGGCUAACUUGGUAAUUUCACUUAAUUGUUUACUCAAGAGAUCAUUUUUCAUAUGAAAGAUUCUUGCAAGUUGCUUGAUGCUCAGCCACCUGCACAUAUAGUUCAACCAACUCUUCUUCGCACUUAUCUCGAUCAUCCUUCAGUUUUCCCUUUCCAUUAGUGAGUUAUGUCACUUGGACGCUUAACUCAAGGACUUCUUCUUCACAUUUCUCAAGGGAUUUCCUUAGAUUUUAUUUGUCUUCAACAAUUUUAUUUAAGGAGUCAAUCAAUUUUGAGGCAAGAGAUCUCAGCUUGUUGAGGGAGUAAUCCUUUAGAUUCUCUUUGAUAUCCAGGAGAUUUAUAGGUUUAUCUUCAUUUUCAUCAGUGUCUGCCAUCAAGGCAAGGAAUCACUCCAGCAUGCUGCAAGCACCUGACUUGCAAUCUUGUCAGCUAAAGAUUUUUUGUUAUACUUCACAGAAACGCGUUGCUUUCCUCUCUCCCUAUCAAUAGUUUUUCUUAUAUAUUCCUUGUUAUCAACGUUGUGCAUUGGACAGUCCUUGAUGUAAUGACCUAACUUUCCACACUUGUGAUAGGUACCGUUGCCUAUUUCUUCCUUGUAAUUCUUGCUAGAUUCACCCUUUCUGAAUCUAACUCUUAACAUUUUUAAGCCUUUGGGCACCCUUUUUACAAUGUGAGCUGUUUCAUUUUCUUCAAAUCUGUAAGUAGCUUGUAAAGCCUUAGAACUAGUUUUGAUGAAACAUCUAUUUCUCAAAAUCCUUCCAAGGUGUUAGCCUUAUUAUAGAAGAUCACACUCUGAUACUAAAUGAAGGAUUGAGAGGAUAACUCCUCAACUCAGGGACAUGUUCUCAGAUACACUCACACAAUAAGAAUUAGGAGAUAUGUAAGGCAAAAAGUGCAGGAAUAAAGUAAAUAGAAGAUACAAAAUUUUACGUUGAAACUCCUUGCUCAAGAGAGAAAAACCACGACCUGCCUCCAGGAUUUCUAAACUCCACUAUACUCAAGCAACUUCUUGAAUAUAGACUCCAAGAAUUAACCUCCUAAUAAUUUAUUUCCUAGUAAUAACUCCAUUAUAAGGAAACACAAGCAGUAACUCCACUGCUUUAACCUCUAGCUACCUCUAACAGGACACACCAAGCUAACUCGAGAUUGAAACAAUCAUCUAACUCUAGAUGACUAGAAGGGGAAGGUUCACACCUCAAACCCUACUACAAUCAUAAGAAAAUGUAGGCAAACAUUUAAGAAUAAUUUACAAAGAUUCAACUACAACAAGGAAAUAAAAAUAGAACUCGAUGAACAAUCAGUUUCCUGCUGCAGUGUUGUCUUUGAUUUUUUUGGUUCAAAAUAUAUUUAGUUAUGAGAAUAUGAAAGAAUUAGUUUUCUUGUUGAGGAAGAUGAUCAUUAUGUAUUAUGACCCAAGAAAACCUAGGAGAGAUCCCAUUGGUUGAGGCAAAAAGGUGGCAACAACUUUUCCACCAACUUUGUCCUAUGUGUCAGCUGCGACAGUUGAUUAUGAUAGUGACAGGUGAGCCCAACCUGUUCCCUAAGUGGUAACAGCUUUGUCAUCAAAAAAAUUCAGGAAACAGAUUUCAAAUUAUAAGUUUGUCAAUCAUCAAAACUAAGUACUUAACACACACCAAAUCGAUUAUUACAUAAACUGAGACUUUCGGCGUUAUUUAAGGAUGAAUUUUAACUAUAUGACACAAUAUACUUUAGAGAAAAGGGUUAAAUUUAUCCUCGUUGUCAUACUUUGGGGCCAAAUUUAUCCUCGUUGUCAUACUUUGGGGUCAAAUUUACCCCCUCUACUUUGAAAAAUUGACUAAAUACAUCCUUCGUCAUACUUUGGGAUCAAAUUUACCCUCGAUUCCAUACUUUGGGGCCAUAUUUAUCCUCAUUGUUAAGAAACUUUUCACUUGUACCCUUUUUUAACAUAAAAGCCCAAAUCAACGUUAAAUUACCUAAUUUUUGAAAAUAAAUCACAUCCUAAUCUAAUUUGCUCGAUCUGAACCACAAAAAACACACAAACAAAUAUAUCCCUCCUCAGUUUUGUUGAUCGAAUUUUUUUCAACGAACAAAAAUACUUCUCUUCAACAUGCAACGCUGGUAGGUUGUUUACAAAUGAACAUAAUAUUAAAUGGAAUGGGAUAAUGUAGAAGCAUGAAACUAGAAAAAAUGUCUAUUACAAACUCUACUCUUGUUAGAUUAUGUUCAAAUUUUACAAUUUGGUAUGUAAUUUUAUGUGCAUCUAGAUUUUAGAAUCAGUGAAUAAUUUUUCUGAGCAAAUGGCAUGAUGAAAAAUUUGUACAGAUCUAAAUUGCAUAUAAAGAUAUAUGAAUGAAUAGAUGUCACGAUUGACACAUAGGGAGACCUCUUAACUCAAUCAUCCAGAGAAAUAUCCAAUGAGCUUAAUCUAUUACAUUUGAUCGUCAAGUGCAAUUUUUCAUGAGCUUUGCACUGAAGCAGAUCCAUGAACUGAGAGACGGAUAUAUUUCUAUGUGUUUGAACUGAUUCAGAUCAAUUUUUCAUGAGUUAUGCACUGAUAAAUAUCCAGUGGCUUAAUCUUUUGGAAAAAUUCGACCAACAAAAUUAAAGGGGUAUAUUUAUUUGUAUUUUUUUUGUGGCUCGAGUCACAUCGAAGGAGUUAGAUUAAGGUGCAUUUUAUUUUUAAAAAAUGAGACAUUUAACAUUUAUUUGAUCUUUUCUAUUAAGAAAAAGUACAUAUGAAAAGUUUCUUAACAACGAAGGUAAAAUUGACCCCAAAAUAUGAAAUCAAGGGUAAAUUUAACUCCAAAAGUAUGACGAAAGGUAUAUUUAGUCAAUUUUUCAAAGUAGAGGGAUAAAUUUAACCCCAAAGUAUGACAAUGAAGAUAAAUUUAACCGCAAAUUAUGACGAGUGAUAUAUUUAAUCAAUUUUUCAAAGGAUAAUUUAAGUAACAAUCAAACACACAUAAUACAAUACAAUAUUUAAACUAACAACUCAAUACAAUAUAAUAGGUAACAACCAUCCAAACACACACAAAUAAAAGUUUAGGAAAAGGAACAAGAAUAUCACAUCACUUGUAUUACACUACUAAAAAGCCUUAAGUAUCUUCAAGAUUAUUUUAUGUAAGUUAACAAAGAGAUUUGUGAUAAUCUCAAGAUCCUCAACUUGGGAUAAAAUUUCUUAAUAUAUGAAUGUCAGAAUAAUCCAAAACUUUCUGAUUAAUAGUAAUAAGGCUUAAACACCAAAAAGAUCCCAAAUCUUUCAUUAACAAACAGCUUUAUACUAAUAACUUAAGGGAUACUGAAGACUGUUUAGAACUAAAAGCUCAGGUUCAAGAUUGUCCAGGCAAACUAAUUUUUCUGAUCCACAUUAAAUAUGACAUAUGUAGAAUAUGCUCAAGUAGUUUAUACAAGUACUGAUCAUUUAAUUAUUUGUACUUGUCCCCAGGAACACCUACAAAUGUGUGCUUAUUUGUCAAUAAUAAUUUAGUGAUCGAGUCAAAUCUCUCUUAACAACAUUAUUGGUUUAAAAAAACGUUGGCUGCAAUUUGUUAGUCUUCUGCAACGAUAUUUGUAUAUUAUAAGAAAGAUGUCAAAUACUAAGCUUAGCCACAGUUAAUAUAACGAAGAAAAAUCUUCUAAUGAUAAAAACAUAUGUUCGUACAAUAUUUUUAUCGUCAUAAAUAGUGCAGUAAAGCAUUCUUUUUCGUCAUAUAAUGAUAAAAGUAUUACCUUAGUUGAAUUUUAAAUUACACGAUACUUGAAAAAAGAAAGAUUUAAUUUACAUACAUACGCAAUUUUUUUUUUUUUUUAACUAUCCAUGAAGUUUAAUCAGAAAUAGUAAAUCAGCAACUCUAAUUUUAUUGAAUUAUCAAUAAAUGCAUAUCAAAAGAUAUUUGCACUAUGUAAUUACUUACAAAUAACGAGGAGUUUCUGCACUAUGUAAUUACUUACAAAUAACGAGGAGUUUCUUGGAGUAACCGGUAAGUUGUGCCAUGUGACCCCUUGUGGUGUUGCGCUUUCCCGGAAUUCGCUUAUAGCGGAAACUUUAGUUUAUUAUUUUUGUUUUUUUAUAUCUGCAAAUAACUUGAUUGUGUAGAUCUUUUAUUUAUUUUUAUGAUGCGAAGGUUGUGCAGAUAAUUUUACACUAAACUCUUUCAAAAAAUACAAAAUCCAUAUACCGAAAUUUCUUAAGUACUAUUAUUUUCUUUUUUUUUUUGUUGUUGGAGAGGGGGGGCUGAAAGCCAGUAGCACUGUUUCAUAUAAAAAAAAUGUUCUUUUCGUCUUUUGCUUGAAUAUAGCUUCAAAAAUUACAUCACAAAAGCUUCAAUGCAUAGCUAGAAUUUUUCCCUGGAAGGUCUUUUAUUUACUUUUAUGGGAAAUUUUCUACUACAAAAAUGCCAUACAGGGGAAAAAGUAACAAAAACAAAUAUAUGAAGUGAAGCAAAUCAAGUCAACUUGAUGUAGAGCUAAUAAGAAGUUUCUGAUCCCUCCGUCUCGUUUCUAAUCAGAAGUUUCUGAUCCCUCGUCUCGUCUCUAAUCAGAAAUUUCUGAUCCGAGCAUUAAAAAUAGAAAAAUUUUUAGUAGAAGCCUUUUCGGAGACACCAGAACGAGUGAUAUCGCUGGAUAAAAAACAAACAAGCAAAAAAAGGGAAAUAUACAUGGUUAAAUUAUACUCAUAGUAGAUGGUAAACCCCUGAUGGUUAAUAUUUCCAGCAUCAAUUCUUCCCGUUGAUCUCUUUCUUGAUCUUCUUAAUAAAAUCAUCACACUUCUUAUGUAACUCUUCUAAUGUUUCUUCUAAUUCUUCUUCAUCUUCUUCCAAUUCUUCGACAAUUUCAAUAUCAUUUUCUUGAUAAUCUUCGUACAAUAGACCCUUCUGGUCCAAUUCUUCCUUGGACUCCAUGCAUAACGGGAACUUUAAUGCAUCGAGCUGCCCCUUUUUUUCUUCUUGAUUAUCAACCUCAGUCAUUGUUUCAAUUUGUUCUUCUUUGUUUUCAAUUUCAACAACUUUUUCAAGAAACACUUCUUUUGUUUCUUGAUUUUUGUAUUCACUUGACUUGAACUCCUUAUGGCUUUCUUUGGGGGAGUGUUGAUGAUGAUGAGAAAUGUUAGUACUAAUUAACCCUGAAUUCUUGAUAAUGAAAACAAGAAUUCCAUUGCAAAGAAGGAAAAUAUAGUUCCUCUCUGAACUAUAGGUGAAAAGUUGAAUGGAAAAGUAGGAAGAAAAUUCAUGAAAAGAGUAGAAAAGAGAAGGAAGUAAUGAAUAGGAUUGAGAAAACACCAAUGAAAAUAAAGAGACAGGCAGCAGAAUUUUCAUUGCCUUUUUGAGAAAAUAGAAUUGGCUAUUCAAGCUCACCUUUUCCAUUUCUUGAAAUUGAAAAAACAAAAAGAAAGCUCAGAAACUUUGAUAAAAAUUAUAGUUUUCUUGGAAAGUGUUUGGGAUUGUUUGCACUUUGCAAUGUGUGUGUGUAAGAAAGAGUGGUGAAACACUUAAGAUUAUAUACUAGUUUCAUAUUUAAAGUCUUGAAGGGGUUGAAAGUUGAUUUUCCAAAUGUAGCCUUGUGUUUAUUAAUGGUAGAUAGUUGAGUUUUGGUGUUGUUUAGAGGUUAGGCCAAGGGGUAGUUUGAGGAAAAUAGAUAGUCAAGUAGGUCCAACUAAUGGUUUUAAGAAUAUUAAUUUGAAAGGACCAGAGUUGGACUUUUGGAAGUUCACCUUGUUAGUUGUCAUCAUCCAUCUUUAUU
rnacentral:lncRNA from 1 species